rnacentral:rRNA from 1 species
CCUACGGGGGGCAGCAGUGGGGAAUAUUGGACAAUGGGCGAAAGCCUGAUCCAGCCAUGCCGCGUGUGUGAAGAAGGCCUUCGGGUUGUAAAGCACUUUCAGUGGGGAAGAAAGCCUUGGGGCUAAUACCCUCGAGGAAGGACAUCACCCACAGAAGAAGCACCGGCUAACUCCGUGCCAGCAGCCGCGGUAAUACGGAGGGUGCGAGCGUUAAUCGGAAUUACUGGGCGUAAAGCGCGCGUAGGCGGUCUGAUAAGCCGGUUGUGAAAGCCCCGGGCUCAACCUGGGAACGGCAUCCGGAACUGUCAGGCUAGAGUGCAGGAGAGGAAGGUAGAAUUCCCGGUGUAGCGGUGAAAUGCGUAGAGAUCGGGAGGAAUACCAGUGGCGAAGGCGGCCUUCUGGACUGACACUGACGCUGAGGUGCGAAAGCGUGGGUAGCAAACAGGAUUAGAUACCCGGGUAGUC